UACGUAGGGUGCGAGCGUUGUCCGGAAUUAUUGGGCGUAAAGAGCUCGUAGGCGGUUUGUCGCGUCUGCUGUGAAAUCCCGAGGCUCAACCUCGGGCCUGCAGUGGGUACGGGCAGACUGGAGUGCGGCAGGGGAGAAUGGAACUCCUGGUGUAGCGGUGGAAUGCGCAGAUAUCAGGAAGAACACCGAUGGCGAAGGCAGUUCUCUGGGCCGUAACUGACGCUGAGGAGCGAAAGCGUGGGGAGCGAACAGG
rnacentral:rRNA from 1 species